rnacentral:rRNA from 1 species
AGUGAACGCUGGCGGUAGGCCUAACACAUGCAAGUCGAACGGCAGCACAGUAAGAGCUUGCUCUUACGGGUGGCGAGUGGCGGACGGGUGAGGAAUACAUCGGAAUCUACUUUUUCGUGGGGGAUAACGUAGGCAAACUUACGCUAAUACCGCAUACGACCUACGGGUGAAAGCAGGGGAUCUUCGGACCUUGCGCGAUUGAAUGAGCCGAUGUCGGAUUAGCUAGUUGGCGGGGUAAAGGCCCACCAAGGCGACGAUCCGUAGCUGGUCUGAGAGGAUGAUCAGCCACACUGGAACUGAGACACGGUCCAGACUCCUACGGGAGGCAGCAGUGGGGAAUAUUGGACAACGGGCGCAAGCCUGAUCCAGCCAUACCGCGUGGGUGAAGAAGGCCUUCGGGUUGUAAAGCCCUUUUGUUGGGAAAGAAAAGCAGCAGGUUAAUACCCCGCUGUUCUGACGGUACCCAAAGAAUAAGCACCGGCUAACUUCGUG